GUCGCUUUUGGUUGAUUUAGAAUAGAAAGAUCUGAUUUGAAAAGCCGCGAGCUAAAGCUACCACUGCCAUGGACGACGAAGAGAACCAAGCUCCACAGCCGGAGAACCAGGCUUCUCCAGAGCGAGAGAAUCCGUCGAGACUCAUCCUUCAGGCAACCGACUUCAUAAGCGUGAAACAGAACACUAAAUGGCACUUCUGAGCCCUCUCACUACUAAACCUCUAGUGACCCUAGUUGGACUUGGCAUGUUCGUUUAUCGGUUCUCUCAGCUGGGCACGUGUGCUGUAGUCGGAGUGCCAACAUUGUUGGUGCUGUUUUUCAUAUCACAGAUAGUGUCUCCCACGCAUUGUCUCGAUAUCUAGAGAGGAACCGUUUAACAGAUUUAGGUUUCUUCGAUACUGGAGGUUGAACCCAAAUCAAAUUCAGCGAUAUGCACUGCUGUUUUUAGUACCCUUUGCAUGGCCAUUUGCAGCAGUUUUGUCUAUUGCAUAUGGUCAUACUCGUAGCAUUUGCCGGGUUCAUCUGUCUAGACUUUUCAGUGGUGCUCAUGGGCUAUGGAUUCCAAAUCCAUUUCAAUGGGGUUCUCCCACUCUUGAUGUUGGAGAUGCAGUUACAAUGAUGAUGGCUGUUUUGGUUGCCACAUUUGAGUCUACAGGGACUUUUCUUAUGGCCUCGAGGUACGGGUUGGUCACCCCUCCCCCACCUUUCGUUCUUUAGACAAGGAGCUAUAUGCCAGGAAAAUUUGCAGCAUUUCUUGCUUCCUUAUCAUUGCCACUUGUAGGAGCAGUGUAUUGUCUGCUAUACUUCUACGUGGUUAUGUUUAUUUAUUUAUUUAUGUGUCUAUCUCUUUGUGAUUUAUUUGUAUUUUUUAUGCUAAUUAUGUAGCAAAACCACCAUAGUUUUACUACAUGAUUGAUAUAACAACAGCCUGUUAACCCUAAACCCUAAACUGUUUGGGCAUGCAGUUUUUGGUAGUAUGAGCUUCAUUCAAUUUUGCAACCCAAA